UACGUAGGGACCAAGCGUUGUCCGGAAUUAUUGGGCGUAAAGAGCUCGUAGGCGGUUUGUCGCGUCUGCUGUGAAAACCUAAGGCUCAACCUUGGGCUUGCAGUGGGUACGGGCAGACUAGAGUGCGGUAGGGGUGACUGGAAUUCCUGGUGUAGCGGUGGAAUGCGCAGAUAUCAGGAGGAACACCGAUGGCGAAGGCAGGUCACUGGGCCGCAACUGACGCUGAGGAGCGAAAGCAUGGGGAGCGAACAGG
rnacentral:rRNA from 1 species